rnacentral:rRNA from 1 species
CUGCUGCCUUCCGUAGGAGUCUGGUCCGUGUCUCAGUACCAGUGUGGGGGACCUUCCUCUCAGAACCCCUAGACAUCGUCGCCUUGGUGGGCCGUUACCCCGCCAACUAGCUAAUGUCACGCAUGCCCAUCCGUCUCCGGAGUCGCCUCCUUUGGCCGAAAGAAGAUGCCUCCCCUCGGCCACAUGCGGUAUUAGGCCGGAUUUCUCCGGGUUAUCCCGCUGAAACGGGCAGGUUGCAUACGCGUUACUCACCCGUGCGCCGGUCGCCGGG